GACGAACGCUGGCGGCGUGCUUAACACAUGCAAGUCGAACGAUGAACCCGGAGCUUGCUCCGGUGGAUUAGUGGCGAACGGGUGAGUAACACGUGAGUAACCUGCCCUUGACUCUGGAAUAACUGCGGGAAACUGUAGCUAAUACCGGAUACGACCCUCGGCGGCAUCGCCAGGGGGUGGAAAGAAUUUCGGUCAAGGAUGGACUCGCGGCCUACCAGCUAGUUGGUGAGGUAACGGCUCACCAAGGCGACGACGGGUAGCCGGCCUGAGAGGGUGACCGGCCACACUGGGACUGAGACACGGCCCAGACUCCUACGGGAGGCAGCAGUGGGGAAUAUUGCACAAUGGGCGCAAGCCUGAUGCAGCAACGCCGCGUGAGGGAUGACGGCCUUCGGGUUGUAAACCUCUUUUAGUAGGGAAGAAGCGAAAGUGACGGUACCUGCAGAAAAAGCACCGGCUAACUACGUGCCAGCCGCCGCAGUAACAC
rnacentral:rRNA from 1 species